GGGGGGGGGGGGGGGUAAAAAGAAAUUGUGGGGGGCCAAUUUUUUCUCAUUUCAGAUUUCAGAAAUUAAAAAGAAUUAUUCUUCAAAUAUUUUUUUUUUUUCAAAUUUCAAAUAUUGAAAAAUUUCAAGAAGUAAUCUUUAAUUGCACAGUAUGGCGUAUUAGAUUUGUAAAAUCUUUGAUCACAUUUAUUUAUUUGUCAUGCCGAAUCUAACAGUGUAUUUAGAUUUUUAAUUUUUGGUCCAGUUUUCAAAUUGGUCUACAUUAAGGUCAAAAGGGUCCAAAAUUAAACUUUGUUUGAUUUCAUCAAAAAUUGAAUUAUUGGGGUUCUUUGAUAUUCCAAAUCUAACGGUGUAUUUAGAUUUUUAAUUUUGGGUCCUGUUUUUUAAAUUGGUCUACAUUAAGGUCCAAAGGGUCCAAAAUUAAACUUAGUUUGAUUUUAACAAAAAUUGAAUUCUUGGGGUUCUUUGAUAUGCUGAAUCUAAACAUGUGUUUAGAUUUUUGAUUAUGGGCCCAGUUUUCAAGUUGGUCCAAGAUAGGGUCCAGGAUUUAAACUUUGUUUGAUUUCAACAAAAAUUGAAUAUAUGGGGUUCUUUGAUAUGCUGAAUCUAAACAUGUAUUUAGAUUUUUGAUUAUGGGCCCAGUUUUCAAGUUGGUCCAAAUUGGGGUCCAAAAUGAAACUUUGUUUGAUUUCAACAAAAAUUGAAUAUAUGAGGUUCUUUGAUAUGCUGAAUCUAACCAUGUAUUUAGAUUUUUUAUUUGUAGGCCCCGCUAUCAAAUUGGUUCAUAUUGAGGUCAAAAGGGUCCAAAAUUAAACUUUGUUUGAUUUCAUCAAAAAUUGAAUUAUUGGGGUUCUUUGAUAUGCCAAAUCUAACCGUGUUUUUAGAUUUUUAAUUUGGGUCCCGUUUUUUAAAUUGGUCUUCAUUGAGGUCCAAAGGGUCCAAAAUUAAACUUAGUUUGAUUUUAACAAAAAUUGAAUUCUUGGGGUUCUUUGAUAUGCUGAAUCUAAACAUGUGUUUAGAUUUUUGAUUAUGGGCCCAGUUUUCAAGUUGGUCCAAGUUGGGGUCCAAAAUUAAACUUUGUUUUAUUUCAACAAAAAUUGAAUAUAUGGGGUUCUUUGAUAUGCUGAAUCUAACCAUGAAUUUAGAUUUUUUAUUUGUGGGCCCCGCUAUCAAAUUGGUUCAUAUUGAGGUCAAAAGGGUCCAAAAUUAAACUUUGUUUGAUUUCAUCAAAAAUUGAAUUAUUGGGGUUCUUUGAUAUUCCAAAUCUAACCGUGUAUUUAGAUUUUUAAUUUUAAGUCCCGUUUUUUAAAUUGGUCUACAUUAAGGUCCAAAGGGUCCAAAAUUAAACUUAGUUUGAUUUUAGCAAAAAUUGAAUUCUUGGGGUUCUUUGAUAUGCUGAAUCUAAACAUGUGUUUAGAUUUUUGAUUAUGGGCCCAGUUUUCAAGUUUGUCCAAGUUGGGGUCCAAAAUUAAACUUUGUUUGAUUUUAACAAAAAUUGAAUAUAUGGGGUUCUUUGAUAUGCUGAAUCUAACCAUGUAUUUUGAUUUUGGACAUUGGACCAUAAUAGGUAAAUUAAAAAAAUUCAAGUUCUUAGACCACAUUCUUUCUGUGUCAGAAACCUAUGCUGUGUCAAAUAUUUAAUAACAAUCCAAAUUCAGAGCUGUAUCAAGCUUGAAUGUUGUGUCCAUACUUGCCCCAACUGUUCAGGGUUCGACCUCUGCGGUCGUAUCAAGCUGCGCCCUAGCGAAGCAUUUUAUUUGUUAUUUAAUGUUUAC